ACGGAUGCCGCAUCGCGGACAUCCCGGACGAGUGGAGUCGUACCCGGCCUGACAAGACGACCGCU
rnacentral:ncRNA from 1 species